AGUCUUAAAGUAAAGAGAUUUAAUAAUAAUUUAUAUUCAUUUCAACCCUUUAACCGCCAAGGUCGGAAUAAUCCGACAAAUAUUUUCGUGCCCGUUUCGCCAAGGUCGGAUAUUUA